GCAGUGGCGUGUGUGAUUGCCUUCAGCAACAGUGAUCUUCAAGCAGGGACUGAUCUACGUGGCUUCUGUGGUUCCCUUCAGCAUCGGUCAGCUCAGGGGGAUCUUCCUGACUGUCAGUGGCUGCGUGUUUCUUACUGGAAUCCGUGACCUCAGAUUGAAGUGUUGUGGACUAUUUCAGUGGAUACAGAUCUACCUGGUUUGCAGUGGCUUGUGUCGCACCCCUCCGCAUCAGUCAGCUCAGCCGGCCGUGGCGUGUGUGGUUGCCUUCAGCAUCAGUGAUCUUCAAGCAGGGACUGAUCUACGUGGCUUCUGUGGUACCCUUCAGCAUCGGUCAGCUCAGGGGGAUCUUCCUGACUGUCAGUGGCUGCGUGUUUCUUACUGGAAUCCGUGACCUCAGAUUGAAGUGUUGUGGACUAUUUCAGUGGCCGGCAGUGGCGUGUGUGGUUGCCUUCAGCAUCAGUGAUCUUCAAGCAGGGACUGAUCUACGUGGCUUCUGUGGUUCCCUUCAGCAUCGGUCAGCUCAGGGGGAUCUUCCUGACUGUCAGUGGCUGCGUGUUUCUUAAUGGAAUCCGUGACCUCAGAUUGAAGUGUUGUG